GGGGGGAGGCCGGAUCCUGGGCUGUGUCCCGGUGCCCUGUGCUCCGGGGCCUGCACUGUUGGAAUCGCUCCUGGCCCCGCAUCCCGCU
rnacentral:pre_miRNA from 1 species